CACCUACGGGAGGCAGCAGUGAGGAAUAUUGGUCAAUGGACGCAAGUCUGAACCAGCCAUGCCGCGUGAAGGAUGAAGGCCUUCUGGGUUGUAAACUUCUUUUAUGUGGGAAGAAACCUCUGAUUUCUAUUAGAGUUGACGGUACCAUAGGAAUAAGCACCGGCUAACUCCGUGCCAGCAGCCGCGGUAAUACGGAGGGUGCAAGCGUUAUCCGGAUUUACUGGGUUUAAAGGGUGUGUAGGCGGGCUAUUAAGUCAGUGGUGAAAUCUCCGAGCUUAACUUGGAAACUGCCAUUGAUACUAUUAGUCUUGAAUUUUGUUGAGGUAGGCGGAAUAAGUCAUGUAGCGGUGAAAUGCAUAGAUAUGACUUAGAACACCAAUUGCGAAGGCAGCUUGCUAAACAAACAUUGACGCUGAGGCACGAAAGCGUGGGGAUCAAACAGGAUUAGAUACCCUAGUAGUCACG
rnacentral:rRNA from 1 species